UGUGGUGGCGAUAGCGAGAAGGAUACACCUGUAACCAUGCCGAAUACAGAAGCUGCUUUUAGCGCUGAUUGCAGUGAGGGGCUGCCCUUGUGAGAGUAGGACGUCGCCACGC
rnacentral:rRNA from 1 species